UCGGAUUAACACUCCAUAAUACUGCGAGAAGGCAUCUUUUUUCAGUUAAAGCUUCGGCGGUCAGAGAUGGGCAUGCGUAACAUUAGCUGGUUGGUGAGGUAACAGCUCACCAAGGCUACGAUGUUUAGGGGGUCUGAGAGGAUGGUCCCCCACACUGGUACUGAGACACGGACCAGACUCCUACGGGAGGCAGCAGUGAGGAAUAUUGGUCAAUGGGCGAAAGCCUGAACCAGCCAUGCCGCGUGAAGGAUGACGGCCCUAUGGGUUGUAAACUUCUUUUAUACGGGAAGAAACCCCUCUACGUGUAGGGGGCUGACGGUACCGUACGAAUAAGCAUCGGCUAACUCCGUGCCAGCAGCCGCGGUAAUACGGAGGAUGCAAGCGUUAUCCGGAUUUAUUGGGUUUAAAGGGUGCGUAGGCGGAAAAUUAAGUCAGUGGUGAAAUCCUGCAGCUUAACUGUAGAAUUGUCAUUGAUACUGGUUUUCUUGAAUACAGUUGAGGUAGGCGGAAUGAGUAAUGUAGCGGUGAAAUGCUUAGAUAUUACUCAGAACACCAAUUGCGGAGGCAGCUUACUAAACUGUGAUUGACGCUGAGGCACGAAAGCGUGGGGAGCGAACAGGAUUAGAUACCCUGGUAGUCCACGCCGUAAACGAUGAUCACUCGUUGUUGGCAAUACACCGUCAGCGACUGAGCGAAAGUGUUAAGUGAUCCACCUGGGGAGUACGAUUGCAAGAUUGAAACUCAAAGGAAUUGACGGGGGCCCGCACAAGCGGAGGAACAUGUGGUUUAAUUCGAUGAUACGCGAGGAACCUUACCUGGGCUUAAAUGCAUAACGACGGAUCGGGAAACUGGUCUUUCUUCGGACGGAAUGCAAGGUGCUGCAUGGCUGUCGUCAGCUCGUGCCGUGAGGUGUCGGGUUAAGUCCCAUAACGAGCGCAACCCUCAUCAUUAGUUGCCAGCGGGUAAUGCCGGGGACUCUAAUGAAACUGCCGGUGUAAACCGAGAGGAAGGCGAGGAUGACGUCAAGUCAGCACGGCCCUUAUGUCCAGGGCUACACACGUGUUACAAUGGUCAGUACAAAGGGCAGCUACCAGGCAACUGGAUGCUAAUCUCAAAAGCUGGUCACAGUUCGGAUCGGAGUCUGCAACUCGACUUCGUGAAGUUGGAUUCGCUAGUAAUCGCGCAUCCGCCAUGGCGCGGUGAUACGUUCCC
rnacentral:rRNA from 1 species